AAAUUUUCAUUUAGCGGUGCGCCACCCUUCCCCCUACCCCCGCUUCGCCCCCCUCGGGCGAGACGGUGGCUACUAGGGUUUCGCUGCCCCAUCACCCCUCCUACCCCCUUCCUUCCCUCAUCGCCACCAAAGAUGUUCACCGGGGAAGCCAACGUUGGCGUCGGGGAAGGUGGCGGCGGGGAUCUCGACGCUCGUCCCUUCUCGAAGGCCUUUGGUACCUGUGAGCGGUGGCCCCUUCGGUGGGGGCGGCGUUCAAUGGCAUCAACGUCCGCAGGUGGCGUACAGGCCAGCGUGUUCGACCGUGAGGGCGGCGAGUCACUGGUGGAGUUCGAUCGCUGCACGAAACCUAUCUGCAUCAGAUCUAGAGGUAUGACACCCCUCCCCUUGCUGCUCCUCUCGCUUUGUACGUGAUGGCUUGGGAGUAGCUUGCGGGCUCCAACCUUGGUGAGCACUGGUGGAGAAGAUUGGGACCGGGGUAAUCCCGGCCGGCCCGAUGGCGGCGACACCCAAGGGCGCCGCUUUCUUCCAUGGGGGCGCUGCCGAAGUCCCAACUACCCACCCCAACCCACCGCCCUGGUGAUAACCCAAUAUCUGCUUUGGAUUUAGCGAAGGUGGCGCCUUGCGUAUCAUGACCUCUCUCGAGGCGUCGUCGGGGGUAAAGGGGCUCGGACGGGAGGAUUUGGAGGCGCCGGCUUGAGGUUGCUUCCGUUUUGAGCUUGUAUGGAUGUGGUGUGGGUGGUAGGAACCGACGUCUCUUCUGGUUGGUGCUCUCCAGUGGUGUGGACUCCACUUGGCCCCGGCAGUGCGAUGUCUCGAUCCUGGCGGAUGGGGAUAGGGUUCCCCUUCCCGGCGUCAGUGGUGUGACGCAAACCGGAGACACCUGGGUCUACUCAACAGUGGUGCUCUACUUCCUUGCCCCUCGCAUCUUUGCUCCGUUCCCUGCUGCCUCCUCUUCGGCAUCCGGCUCCAUGAAGCUUUCCUUCUCCAACUAGUUGGGCGUGGACCAUGGCGGUGUUGCCGGCAUGACAUAUACCAAAUCGAGGUGGUCUCCCUAUGCCCACCUUGCAAUGUGAGGCUAGCUCUCGGGUGAGCUUCUCUGAGUCUCAACGGUACGACACCUACGAGCCAUGUCGAGGGGGUAGGGUCCUUCUUCGAUGAUAGAGAAGGAAGUUGUUGUGUUCCCUCCUUCCCUAGGAGCUCCUCGAGCAAUGUCCAUCUUCGAUGGUCGGCUACGACCUACUCUGUUGUUCCGUCCUUAUUUUGUAUGAUCCUAGCUAGUGUGGAGUGCUUCGCCUCUAGCAAGCUGUUAUCUUCAUUUUCUUUUCUUCAAUAGCUUGUGGAGGCUGUAGUUUGAUUUAGAUCGUCUAUUGUGGCCGGUUGAUAGCUUUGUUAGCUCAAUGCCAAGAUCUUCGCGAGCCUUUGUUCUAAAAAAAGAAUACACUUCAUCUUUUGCAGCAUAACCGACAGAGCGCAAUCAUUCGGAAAAUUCGAACUCGAGUAGUUUCAGUCUUCCUUUGCAGAAAGACACGUACAAAAUGAUGCUCCUAGCUAGCAAACAUGAGCAGUGCAGCACCCCUCAAAUGGUAGCCGACGCCUUCCCUUCGUUCCUCACACACUUCCAUGCACGUACGUACAGCUCCACUGAUUAAGCGAGGGCUUUAAGCCUCCAUCCACGGUUGGUUGGUUUACCUUCGACUUCGAGAACCCGCCUCUUUUCCCGCGUAAUGAUCCACCGAUUGCAUGGCUUCCGUCUUUCCCUCCGACAUGAAGAUGCUCCGUACCCCUUGGCUAAUCAAAGCCAUGGAUUCUCUUCUCGAGCUACCUUGCUUCUCCGAUAAGGCGUCUGGUUCUGCUUGCCCUCUGAACUCAAGGGAGCUAGGUGAGCUGCUUACUGCCUGUCUUCUACUGUGACUGAAUCUAGCUAGGGGGUGGAGUAGACUUUACAGAUGGAUUCCACCCUACCGCAACGCGCCAUGAACAAUCCGUCCAAUCGUCCAAUGCACGGGAAGAAGAUCGAACUGGGAGUGACAUGCCAAGUCACUUCAGGGUUGUGAUUUUACAACCGAAAGCAACCCAGCAGUAAUAACUGUAUUAUCUUCUGUUCUUUGCCACGGAAUUCACGUAUACUGGGGUGGUCUUGGCGGUAACUUUUUCUGGCUCAGCACUUUACAGAUCCAAAGGAGCGCUGGUAAAAAAGAAAAUCUCUGCACUGCACGCCAACAAUUCGUCUCAACUCUGAACCCUGCGGCUCUGCAAAACUGCAGUUUUCCCUGAGUGACAGGCUGAGAGUGCGUCGCAUUGACUUGAGUGACAUGGAAGAGUAAAUCUUUCUGAGGACACUGUAAGCUUUGCAGCGAAACGUUUCAGGUCUUACGUAGUGCGUACGUAGUACGCCCGUUGUUUUCUGGGUUCAGGGUUCAGACUGCACCCUUACUUACUGCAUCUGCACGUCGCUUUUACCCUACCACCAAGCUGCUUGCUAGCCACCGACCACUGCUUGUUGCGUUGCCUCUUGGACCGGACCUGACCCCCAAAUCCCAACGACUAGGGUCUGUUUGUUUACAGGGACUAGACUAAAAAAAGUCUCUUUUAGUCCCUGUGUAACCAAACUGAAGGGACAUUUUUUUAAGGAACUAGAAAAAGACUCUACUUAAGGGAUAUUUUCUUUAGUCCCUGAGACUAAAACAAAGUCUAGUCUCUUGAAAACAAACACCCCCUAGGCUAGCUGAUCGAGCUGCCAAAGGGCAAAGCCGCUCGUCUGUCCGAACUCUGAAGAGAAAAGAUAUAUGCUACUAGCAGCACUGAUCACGCAACUACGAUGGUAACAACAAGAGACCAAAUGGAUGGAAAAGAAUCAGUGAUCCGCAUGCAUGAAACACAGGGCAGAGCCUAAGGGGAUAAGGUUUGUGAGAGGGAGGGGGUAGAGCAGGUAUCUAUGCUCUAUGCUUUAAAGGGUUCAAGGGAAGGUGCUCACAGACAGCAAAGACAAGGGAGAAAGGGAAAGGGGAUCCCGGGAAAGAAGCAUCUUGGAGCUAGGAGAGGGACGUGGGGAAUCCGGCGCGGCGGCCACACACCCCAUACGGUGGAGAGAGAGAGGGAGAGACAGAGGUCUGCUUUCAGGCGGGUCAAGUAAAGAAAGCGCGGGCGCGGCUGCUGCGAUGCGAAAGGGGCUUCUCGGAGUAGCCUAGCGGGAUCGAGGGACGGAGGGGAAGGGGGUUUGAUCCAAAUCUUGCGAAAAGCGAUACUGGCAAUUGUGAGGGGAGGCUAGCUAGCUAGCUCCGCGCGCGAGGUGUAGUGCAGAUGAUGAUGCUGCCUGCUCAGUGGUCCCUUUUGCUUGUGUCCUUUUGCCCUCGUUAGGCCCUGUUCGGAACCUCUAUAAAUUACUCACUCUGUCUCAAAAUAACUGUCUCAACUUUGUAAUAGCUCUAGUACAAAUUUGUACUAAGCUUAAGACACUUAUUUUGGGACGGAGGGAGUAUAAUAAUAAUCUGUAUUAUGAAGAUAGAUUAUAUAAUCUGAUUUAUAAAAAUAAUCAAGAUGGGCAAUGUUUGGAGGCCAGAUUAUAUAAAUUGUAAUCCAGCUUUUAUAUUGUACAAUGACAUGUUUGUCCUCUGUUUUUUAGCUGCAAAGGUAAUAAUUUAGAUGGGCAUGUUUGAAGGACGGUGGCGUGGCAGUAGGUAAUUAUCUCCAAGUUUCCAAGGAUAAUGGGUCAUUAGUAAUCCAUAAUCUGAUUUUAGAUGGGGUACAGUGCAGAUGAUGAUGAUGCCUGCUCAGCGGUGGCAUGCAUGCAGACGCAGUGCGGCCCAUGGGAAAUUUCAUGCAUGGGCAUGCCAACGCCGACGUGCAGAUGCUUGGAAACAUAUAUGCUUCUUUUUGCUUGUGUCCCUUUUGCCCUCACUAGUAAGCUUGCACAUGCAACGCACGUCAAAUGUUGUCCCAAUAAGAAUAGAUGUAGUCAGAUGACAGUCAUGUGCAUAUAUUUUUUGUGGUUAGUCGAUUUGGUUUAGGCCAUUUGAGGACAAAUGUAUGACAUGAUCAUCUUCCUAAACCUCGAGCCUCUCCUCUUCCUUUGAUCCGCCGUGUCGUUGCGGUCCUCGUUGUCUACUUUCGCCGUCACGACUGGCGGUGUUU
rnacentral:lncRNA from 1 species